rnacentral:tRNA from 1 species
CGGUAGCUCAGCUGGAUAGAGCAACGGCCUUCUAAGCCGUCGGUCGCAGGUUCGAAUCCUGUCCG